rnacentral:lncRNA from 1 species
CGAAAGUAACAACAAAAGUAGGUAUUUAAAUGAUAAUAAAAUAACACAGUCUUAAACAUGUCCAGUAAAGAAACCUGAACUAAGCGUCGGUAUUUUAAUUGAUUUGUCCUUGACGUUUGACCAUGCCACGGUAAAAUCAAAAGAUUUUUUAAAAUCAAAUGUCUAAAAAGAAAUAAUUUCUUACAAUUCAAGUGGCCGACAUAUAGGCCAUUAUCCAACCAUGUUUAGUAAAAACGGAUAUGUCAUAAAAUACAUUAUACCCGUAAAAUUUUGGCCGAAAUUUAAUCUACAAAAAGCUGCAGUGACCAUGACUUUUGAUCUCUUUUUUAUCAUUCAUUACUGUUUUUUGUUUUAUUUUUGUAAGAUGUUAUCAACCGGGUUUGUUUGUUUAUUAUUGAAUCACAUGAAUCGAAUUAUCGCUGAUGGUGGUAUUUUCGUCCCCGAGGAAAUCACCAGCCAUGUAGUUAGCUUUUGUGUUGAAAUAAGUGAACCUUCAUUUCCUCUUUUAUGCUCAUUAAGUGUUUAUAAAAUGUGGAGUUAAUCGAGAUCAUAACUGUUUUUCAAUACCAAAUACUUCACUACACAAUGGUAUUUGAUUUGGCUCUUUUAAUGUUAAGAAUCGAACGCCCUGGCGGGUCUUAUGUUAGAAAAAUGCAAGGUUGAUAAACUAAUUCACAAUACUGGUAUCUUUCGUGAGAUUAUUUCCCCUUGUGAGAGGAAAAGUCCUUGUAUCCCUUGCAGAAAGCAAAAGUCAUGUUGCAUUUAUUAAAAACAAAUUAAAAAAUAAUCCAUCUUAUUGAAGAGAAUGAUGCAUCAAAGUCAUAUCCUAACAAGAUCAUAAUAAUUUGUUUUAAUACACAUGCCUUUAUUCCAAGUUACGAAACAAUCGACAUCUUUCAGUUUAUCAGAUAAUAAUAUUGGAUUACGUUUCUUCAUAUAUGUUUUUAGAACUGAACCUUUUAUUGGUUUUCUACCUUUUGUCAAAAAUGCAAAUUUUCUUUAGAAUUAUCAAAUUAACCAAUAUUCUACAUCCUAAAUGCCACUUGACUUUUAAAGGAAUCGAAUAACUGUUAUACACAUAACAUUUUUAUAUUAUUAUUUUAGAUUUUUCCAAUGCACAACACGUUGCAUGCAUCAUCUUUGUUAGUAUAGCUGGUGAGUAAACAGUAUACUGCAAAAAAAAUGAUUAUUUUUUUACACUAAAAAGUUGUUUGAUAUUUUAUAAAUAGCUGUGAAUGUUAUUGAAAAGUUUGUGAUAUAUAUAAUAUUCAGAUGUAAUAUUUUUUGGUAAGAAAAACAGGAUAUUUAAAAGAAGAAGACAUGAAAUGCCAAUGAGACAACUUACCCCAAAAAUUUAAAAGCGAAUGUAAUAAUAGUUAGUAACCGAACGGCCUUCAACAAUGACAACGCUGCGUAAAAAAAAGGAUUCUAGUAAAUCGAACAAGAUUGGUAAUUUAAACACGAAACGAAGCGACUAGAAUAAUACCGCCAUCUCAAAAGCCAUAUUUUGAUGUUAUUUUCUCUAUAAAAUAAUUUUGUUCCAAUUGAGCAGAUUUGUUCCCAUGCACAUAACUUUCUGUUUCAAUAAUUUGAGAUAUAUUAUAAUCAUUGGAAGACAUGCAAUUAGUUUAUCAAGAAAAUUUUGAUUAUCAAGCGGAAAUGAAUCAUCAAUUAUCUUUAUUAUAAUUUAGGAUGUAAUGUUUUUGUUAAAAUGUCGAAUGUUUAAAUUGUAAUUAUGUCUGGCAAAGAAUAUUCAUAACUUCAUAAACCUUGAAAAAUACCAUAUUCAGAAAGAGUUUCGAAGUAAGUUUGUAUAAGACUUAAUGAAUGUAAUUCAAAGUUAUCAUCAUGUCUGUGCAUCUCAAUUGAAAAAAUACACUUUAUACUGUAUAAAAGAUGGACGAAAGAUACCAAAGGGACAGUCAAACUCAUAAAUCUAAAACAAACUGACAACGCCAUGGCUAAAAAUGAAAAAGACAAACAGAAAAACAAUAGUACACACGACACAACAUAGAAAACUAAAGAAUAAACAACACGAACCCCACCAAAAACUAGGGGUGAUCUCAGGUGCUCCGGAAGGGUAUAAGUUCGGAGUUAUUCCUUUUAUUUUAUUCAAAAUUAAAUCAAAAUGAAAUUCCAAGGAGGGACAAUAAGGUAUAAUAAUUAAUUACGCUUUUUCCAUAUUUUCAGUUUGUUUUGUUUUUGCUGGCAUAGUUUUGUUAAAAGUUGUUUUUGGUAAGCAUUUUCUUUUUUAUUAUUACAAAUUCAUCCAAUUGAUAGAAUAAAAAGUGUCAAUGAGGAAGGUAGGGCGCUCAAUGAAUUCAAAGACAACACUUCAAACACGCAUACAAACCAACCAAGAAAUGUACACUAUUGGGAAUGAUUUUACUUGAAUAAUCAACAAAGUCAAUCUUUUAUGAAGCUCUCCUUUGCCACAUUCUGACAAUGUUUCUUUCUAAAACUGGCAAAUAUCAUGCAUUAUCAGAAUUUGCAAAUUGAAUUGAGAUCGUAAAUGAUCUGUCUAAAAAUUAGCUAUUAACUGUACAUUAUAACUGAAAUUUCACAAGACGUGUUCUCUGUUUCCAAAAAUAUAUUUAGGAUGUUAAGAUAAUUUUUAUUUCAAAACAGAUUAUAAUUAAAGCGUUCAAAAUCAGAGUGUUUACUAAUUUUACUUGUUGUAUAUUUAUUUUUGAAAACUAAUUUAAAUGUAAGGAGUAUAUAAUUGUGAUAGAUAUAGAGAACCUACAAAACAGAAGAAGACAGAGGUAUCAAUUGUAAUCUGAAUACACUUUUCUCAUAAAGAGAGGCGUAAGAUACGAGACGGACAUUCAAACUCAUAAGUCGAAUAUAAACUGAAAAAGCCAUGGCUAAAAACGAAAAAAAAAACCCAACAGAUACAAAAUAGUACAAAAAAAACAACAAAAUAGAAAACUGAAAAUUUAUCAAC